UUGUCUUUUGUGAGACCUUUUCCAUCAAGGAUCUAGGUGCCCGCUUCAAGGUUCCGCCAUCGAUCAAGAGAGGCGGAGACCCUACCCCACCGCAUCUGGAACAAGAACCGGAGCGAGGCGAGCCACCGAUCCUCCGCCGCACCACGUCGCCGGAUCCAAAGGAGAGCGGGGGUGAGCAAGAUGGAGGCUUCCAAGAAGCUCAGCGCCGGAUCGACGGGGAAGAGAAGGCACGGGUCCACGGCGCUGUUCGUGGCGGUGGACUACGCCUUCCUGCUCGCCUUCGCCGGCUUCCUCGCCUACCUCGUCGGGUCCCGGAUCCUCCCCUCCGUCGGUCCAUCGGCCUAGAUCGGCUCCCGUCCUCCGUGGAUCUCUUCUUUCUCUGCCGCUCUGUAUUUCGUUUGGAUUCGAUAUGAGGCCCAUCCCGGGAUCUUUCCCGGGCGAUGGAUCUCGUCUCGUUGUGAUGCGGCUCCUGCGAUGUAAUCCAAUCCCAUUUUGUUGAGGAGAGAACUAGUGAUGUUUCUUGGCAAUCGUCAUGCUGAUGUGAGAAAUCUUUGCUUGUUCAGUUGCUACAUCUGUUCGUGUACUGAGAUUGCUUAGCAUAAUAGCAUUUGAAUUGAUCCGGCUUCUAUGUGCCUGUCUGUCCGACUGAAAGUGAAUCGAUCAGGUUAAUCUCAUGCUUCGUUUUUUAUCUGUGAUCUGUGAUUCAAUACUUGUGAUUUGUGAACUUGGUUUCUGUGCUUUUACUUGUCUUCUAAAUAUCUACCAUAACUCAUCCUCUCUCUUGCCUAGCACAUUAGUUGAGUAAUAAUCACUGUCAUUCUUACCUGCCUGUACUAUAAACCAAAGCUGGAUCCAAAAUGAGCAACGAGGUUCAGCUGUCAUUUCAGCAAUUCUUGGUCGUUAUUGAUCCAAAACGAGCAACGAGUUAUUCACUACUUCAUAUUUUGCCACAUUUUGCUCCAAAUUCAAAUGGACCAGUAUUUUUUUUUCUGAAGGAAUGGUAUGAUGCCAGUUAUCCUUUGCCAUUACUCCGGAAAUACUGUUUCUCCUCCGUCUUACAGUGUUCUUACCAUUAUUUUUCUGUUCGUGAUGUCAAACUAGACUCAAAUUUUGAGAUGUUUAGCCUACAAAUGCUGAAGGGUAUGGGUAUCUGUUUGCUGAGAGAACUCGUUAGGACACAAAAGCUUAGAGCUCUAGUGCUUCAGAAAACAAUAGGUUGAAUUCAAGCAAAAUACACCUGUUCAAUUUUCAUUGCAAGAGGAAGAGAUCAGGUCUUUUUAGCAUCUCCACUAUGAAAACCCGUACCAUACAUACAGCACAUUGCAUCAAAAGUCUCAUUUUAUCUUCCUGACUGCCAAUAUGAGGAAUACUUCAUGAGGCUACUGCCUGACUGCCCGACAGCAACGAUCAGUCAGCAUAUUCCUUGAUAGCUGCUGUACUUGUGCUCGUUUAGGAGCUGGCAUACAGAUACUCACAAGUUUACGACACUAAACGGAUGCCUGCGACUGAUGGGAUCUUCUCUCUGAGCUUCUGAGCUAGCGCCACUCGAACAGUCUUCACACCUGCAGCGCGGCCUGUGAGCCGGACUUUAACAAUGGGGCCAACAAUCUUGAUGAACUCAAGCUUGCCACCUCCUGUGCCAGCAAGGUAUGGUCUGAUUUCAGCUAGUACCUGAAAUUUAGUUUAAUGGAGGCACCAAUACUUUCAGCUAUCCCUUUUUAACAUUUUUGUCUGUAAGAAGGUGAAAAGGGUAGAUCUUUAAUGGUGUGUGUGGUGUAGAUUGAUGCCAGGAGACACGGUAUAAUGUCACAAACAAUUAUUGGCACUAUGGUAAUAGAGAAAUAUCACUUAAUCAUAAAGAAAAGAAGAUGUUUUAUCCAUUCAGAGUUUCAGACACUCCUAUUUCCUGCAUAGCAGAACUGACAAAUUCCAGUGUUUCAUAUCUCAUACUAAUAUAAGCUGGACUUGGAGUUCUAUUAAGAGCAGGAAUAGUUUUGCUCCAGGUAUUGAGCGCUUAGACCAACAAAAGGUUACCUGCAUUUUUCUCAUAAGAUAAAAAAAUUCAAUAGAAACAAGCCAGCAACAUAGUUUCAAUGUAGAAGGAAUGCAAACCCAAAACAGUUCCAAUGCUUGAACAAUGAUGUGAUAAUAAUUGGUCCUAAACUAUAGCUUAGCACUAAUUUGCACAAAACUGGUGGUAAGAACUGGCAACAAUCAGUUAUAUUUAUACAAGACUCUAAUUUCAGAGCAUAUUUAUAUUUCAGUUUUUACAUGUGCGAGGUUGCUAAUGCUGCAAUAUUAGCACAUUCUAGACAAAAUUUGUAAGGUGGGUCUAUAUAUGCAUAUUUAUUUAGACGUUUUCUUGAGCUAGGCAGGGCAUCAAAUUUGACAAACGUCCCUGUGGGAAAAUAUUCAGUGCCAAGCAGUCCUGGACCUAUCGACCAUAUAUCGAUGCCAUCACCUGCAUGUUUACGCGAUCACUGGAGUCACCCUAACUAUGUCUAUUCCUGCAAAUAAUCUAACAAGUGUACAUGAUUCAGAACAAUAAAAACAAAAUAAGCCUACAAGUUGACAAGUACCUUCUGCACAUUAGCUGGAUUUAGCUUAAGCCCCAUCUCCUUAUCCGAAACACGUUCAACUGCACUGAUCUCUGGUAUGUUCUCUAUCAAGCGCCGCUCGAUGCCCAUCUUCAUUGUUGUCACUGAGCUUGGACACGAACCACAUGCUCCCUGAAGCUUUAACCUCACCACACUCCCAUCAAUCUUAUGCAAGGCGACGUCGCCUCCAUCUGCUAUUAGAUACGGGCGCACUUUAUCCAGAACCGACUCGACAUUUCCAACGGUUAGUGGCAAUUGUACCACUGUAUGCAGGUCGGCAACAGAUCGAGCAACUGCUACAAACAGAACAACAGUAGGUGAAGGUUCAGUUGACCUCAUAUAAUGGCAGGGUACUGAAUCGGCGCAGAGUUUCAGCUAAAUAGAUGCAAUGCAACGGAAGCACGGAACAAUGAAUCUUAUUUAAACAAUGUAUUUAUAUUCAUCAAAAUCAAGUAAAAGUUCCUCGUCCCAAUGCAGGUAUGCGAGCAUGUUGAGGGAACAUCUGCAGAAAGCUUUGCGAUUGGCAACUGCAGCGCCGACGAUAGGGAGGCCUCACCUUGCAGACGCCGGCGGCCAGCGGACAUGGCGGCAACCAAUCUUGGCGUAGGGCUCCCACGCGGCCACGACGCGACCCUCACCUUCAGACCGGAGAAUCUCAGUUAGCAUCGUCACAUUCCCAAAGAAAGUAUGGGGAAACAGAAGGCAAGAGGACGCCAUGCCCAACCAUGGACGAGGAGGAAGUGGACGGCGCAAACUGCGCCGCGCCCGCGGCGGCGGCGGCCGCCGCCGUCGCCAUCUCCGGUGGCCCGGCCCGACUGGAACGGCCCCUCACGCCUGAGGCCUGAGGGUGAAGUAUUCCAAUCGGCCGGCGUGGGGGUCGAGACGCUCCCAAUCGCCGGCCGCCACCGUUGUUCCUCGUGUGCGGGCGGGUGAUUUUGUAUCGUGCCGCUAUUCGCGUGCUCGCGCUUUCUCCUCUCGGGCGCGCCGGCUCGCCCGGGCGCUCGUUUCNNNNNNNNNNNNNNNNNNNNNNNNNNNNNNNNNNNNNNNNNNNNNNNNNNNNNNNNNNNNNNNNNNNNNNNNNNNNNNNNNNNNNNNNNNNNNNNNNNNNUCUGGCAGCAAUGGCAUAUGUCUGAAAGGGGAAAAAAUGUUUUUUGAACUACUACAAUAUAUGCAUAAUGGAACAGAUAAAAGACAAAGAAAAGAUUGCAAAUCUCCAUUGGUUUAGCAGAAUAAAUGUUAAAGAACAUUUGAUGCAUGGGGUGAAUAUAUAUAUUUAAACCAAUACUCCAGACUGUAUUCUGUAAAUAACAGUGUGACGGGGGGUUGCAUCCGGAAAUGAGCUCGCUGUUUUUCUAUUUUCCUCACGAUGGAAUUCGACGUUCGAUUCCUCACGAAUCUUUUCUUUUCGUCAACUAGCGAAAUCACACGAAUUUAAGAAUUCUAGAUUUUUCAAUCUGAAUAGUGUCCAAAUGUUUGGACAAAUUUGCGGGGAAAAGAUCAAGACUAGUUACAUAAUGCCUUUUCUGUUUGUACGCAACUUAUGCUCUAGUCCAAAGUAUUAUGGUUAGGUUGCAGUAGUGGGAGAAAAGAUGCCCAUGUUACAAGUAGAUCUUUGAGCCCGUGUCAAAUAAUGUGGCACUUUCUUUUGUCGUGCUCCACCUGUCAGUAGAAAAGAAAAAGGUACGAGGAAAAUAGAGUGAGGAGUGAAAGCUGACCUUGCAAGUUCAAACAAUGUCAGAAGGGGUGUUCGCUACUGCUCUGGAUGCAUAUUUCAUCCAUUAAGGUGGCAUUAAACAUUUAUAAGCAUAUAUGACCUAAACAAAACUCAAACUUAACUGAAAUCCUUUUGACCAAAACCAUACUUCCAUGGUUACAAUUAUUUUCGUGAAUUUUUAAUAUGAAAUGGUAGAUAGCAUGCUGUUAUAAAAGCUACUCAAGCGUUUGUCCAACAAAUUAUGAUAGGAGGAAAGAAGAUAUUUUGUAGGGGCAAAACCAUAAAACUAUACUGUGGUGAUUGGUGAAACACAAAACAUCACUAUUUGGAAAACAAUGAAGCUGUCGAAACUCAAAAGUUUGAAGUUAUUUGGAAACACAUGUUAAUGAAUGGAUGUUCUGGAGUCUGACAGUGUGUCGGUGUCAACGAACGCGAACAGGUUAGGCAGGCAAAAAAAAUUACCUGCCAUGGGCCUCUCUCUGGGAGUCAACGGUCCACGGAUCCCAGAGCAGGGUCAUCAUAGACCGUCCAAACCGCCGAGGAAAACAACCAUCUCCUGGAAUCCACGGGCACCCGGCAAAGAAAACGCCCGCAGGCCGGCAGGCAGAUCGCGAGGAGGCAGCUGGGCUCGUGAGUCUUGCCGUCUCGCGGGCCAACCCGAACCCCAAGGCUCGCGACCGCGACACUCCCCCGUCUCCUCCUCCCGCUCGCUCCUCCUCAGAUCUCGCCGCCGGCGGACAUGCUCCCCUCCUCCCGCGCCGCCCGUGGCCGCGGCCUCGGCCUCGGAUGCCUCCUGCUCGGCCUCGCCCUCACUCUCGCGUCCCUGCUCGCCCUCGCCGCCGCCUCCGAGGCCGACCACAAGGUACGCGCGCGUCCAUCCUUGCCGCCCCGGAUCCAAGUCUCUGCUCCGCCCGUGGGUUGGAUCGCCGCCGGAUCUGGGCCGCCUCUCCGGUCGGAUCCCUGCGCUGCUGGGUUGCUGGCGGUGGCGGCGGCUCUCGCCCGGGGCGCUUCUAGUGCGCGGUUUGAUUGUUCAGACAGAGGGAGCUGACGAGAUGAGAGAGUUGUGUUGGAUGGUUGCGGAUGUUAAAAGCAUGCCGCUCAUCUAGAGUAUAGGUUUGCUUGAGAAGUAAGGUUCGAUGUGGGAGUGCAAAUGGGCGUGCUGGGACUUCAGCAUGAAAGCUUAAUGGUUCAUGGGUUUUUGAAUUUUCAGUAGAUGGUUGCGGUGGUUGAUGUUGGUCCGAGUUCUGAUGCUUAGAAACAUAUAUAACUUAGUGUCAGUAAGGAGAAAUUCUUGUACAUUUGGGUCUAGUACAGCUAUAUCCUGUGGAUGUCUGUGUUUUUGUGUUAGAAGGAGAAAUGUAUAACUUAGCUCACAGAAUUCCUAUGCCUUUGGUUACAACUAGCAGUGUCGUUAUUAUUCAUGCUCUCUGUCAUUGAUAAUUCACUGAUAACAUGCUAUGUGCUAUCCUGAAGCUAUGGAUACGUUUGGCCAGAAUUCUAGAUUUUUAUGUUUACUCAGCAUUUUUCUAUGUUCUACCAGAAUGUCACAGACUACUACGUGCACUGAGUUUACCUCUCUUUUCUUUUCCUCAAUCAGGCUUAAUGUUGAGGUAUCUUAGAUUUUUUUUAUCACUAAAUGAAAAAACUUCCUGGUAAUGGUCCAUCUUUAGUCGAUUCAUAAAAUUUAUUUAUGCUAGAUAUCACGCUGAUGGAAACAUCAAAACCAAAAUUUGUAAAUAGCAGAGAGAAUCUUUAUUAGUAAGAUGUUGCAGUUACUGCUGUCAUUCUUGAGUACUUAGGAUAUGUGAAGAAAUUGUUUUUAUAACUUAGCAAGUCUCAAUGAUAGCUGCUAUCAGGAAUAGUUACUAAGAACCCCAUGGCUUCUCUGUUUAAAUCUGGAUAGUAUUACAUUAUAUUAUAGAUAUGUCGACCCACCAAUCCCUGAUAAAUAAUUCAAUACAGAAAUUAGAAGCAGAAAUCAUCCAUAGCAUCUCACAGAUUUACUUCAUGUGACUGCUGUGUUGUAUAUAAGCUUUAGUAUUUUUUUCCUUGCGAAAUAAAUUAUGCUUCCUACAUGCAGUACAAAUAUGUUCCAAACUCAAAAGUUUUCAUCCUUUUUGUGCUUCUUUCAUGCAGUACAAAGCUGAAGAGCCAGUUAAGCUCUGGGUGAAUAAAGUUGGCCCUUACAACAACCCUCAAGAAACUUACAACUAUUACAGCCUUCCAUUUUGUCAACUAUCUGAGAACCCUAUACAUAAAUGGGGUGGCCUUGGAGAGGUCCUGGGUGGAAAUGAGCUGAUUGAUAGUCAGCUUGACAUAAAGUUCUUAAGUAUGCCGAUAUUGUUCCCAUUUCAUCCAUGUCUUUAUUUACUAUAUAUUAGAAAGUCCAUAUUCCUGUAAGUACACCUUUUCUGCCUUACUGAUUGUAUAAGUGUUACCUUUGGUCUAGGAAAUGAGGAGAAGGGCUUCAUUUGUACACUUGAGCUAGAUUCUAAAAAGGUUCAGCAGUUUGCUGAUGCUAUUGAGAACUCAUAUUGGUUUGAAUUAUUCAUAGGUAUGUGGAUCCACUUUUUGAUCCAUUAUGUCCUAUUGUGUUAUGAUGAUUAGGGAUGUGCUUAUUUCUGACACCGUUUUUCAUCAUUGUCGGUAUCAAUUGCUUUUGGUUGUUUGCUGCCAUAUUCUCCUAGACGAUCUGCCUCUUUGGGGUAGGCUCUUCUCAACUAAGUAUUUUAUUCUCUCAGUUUUGUGUCUUUUUUUUUACCUGACAUGAUAGUUGUCAUCUGUUCCGAACAGGUUUUGUUGGGGAGACUGACAAGAACAGUGAAAACAAGCAUUAUCUUUACACCCACAAGAACAUCCUUGUUAAAUACAAUGAGAACAGGGUAUGCUAUCUCGCGUUGAUCCAGAUUCGAGAACACUAACACAUAAAUCUGGACGCAACUAAAUAUGUGAACUUUGUUUUAGAUAAUUCAUGUAAAUCUCACCCAAGAGUCUCCUAAGCUUCUUGAAGCUGGUAAGAAGCUGGAUAUGACAUAUUCAGUGAAGUGGGUCGCAACAGAUGUGUCAUUUGCACGUCGUUUUGAAGUGUACCUGGACUAUCCUUUCUUUGAACACCAGGUGAUACUUUAUCUGUAGACAACCAGCAACUUUCUAUCCAAUCUGUCAAUUUGAACACUAGAUAGCUGUAUCUUCCCUUUUUACUAACUACAAUAUUCUAAUUUAUGUUCAUAUUACUCUUUCAGAUUCACUGGUUCUCCAUUUUCAACUCCUUUAUGAUGGUUAUUUUCCUAACUGGUUUGGUUUCAAUGAUAUUGAUGCGGACUUUGAGAAAUGAUUAUGCUAAAUAUGCUCGUGAAGACGAUGAUCUGGAGUCCCUGGUGAGAAUCUGAGUUCCGGUGCACAUGCUUUCUAACUGUAUACUUGAUAGCUUGAGAAAUUUCUUUUCCUAGCUUUUGCCCACUUCCCACUCAAUUAUUGCUUAAGUUAUCAUAUUACCUUGGUAGGAGAGAGAUGUUAAUGAUGAAUCAGGAUGGAAGCUUGUCCAUGGUGAUGUAUUUCGGCCUCCCCGAAGUUUGAUGUUUCUUUCUGCACUUGUUGGUAUUGGCACCCAGCUGGCAGCUCUUAUCCUACUUGUGAUUGUGUUGGCCAUCGUUGGCAUGUUAUACAUCGGGUACGCUCAACAUACACCCCCUUUCCCUUCUCCUUGCAUGCACAACUUAUAGCUUGAAAUAUCUGUGUAGCUAAAAUGUCAUGCUCAUAUGGGGGAAAACAUACAGUGCACUGUGCACAAUACAUGAAAGUAAUGCAGGGAUUAUAUAAAAUUUUGUAUGGGACGGGCUUUUGUAGGAUCAGAACCAUUUUAGUUUGUAUCCAUGAUACACACCACAUGCCUGUUGGAAACUUCCCGGGAGCCAUGGAACUCUUAACUAAAUCGGCUUUUAAUCAGUGUGCAAAUAGCUGGGUUUAAAGUUGUCUCCGGCUGUUUUGGCUGAAUACUGCACCUUUUUCAGCAGUUGAAAUAAUGCAUGCUCCUUUAGUUUACCUAUUCGUUUUCUUCUGGAUGCACUUGAAUUAUAAGCAAAAGAGUGUUAAAUCCUCCUUUUUUAUGUUCUACUCCCUCCGUUCCAAAUUAUAAAUCAUUCCAACUUUCUUGGAGAGUCAAAACAUCUUAAGUUUGACCAAAUUUAUACAAUAAAGUACUAACAUUCAUGAUACCAAAUAAGUACCAUUAGUUUCUUCAUUAAAUAUAUUUUCAUGGUAUAUCUAUUUGGUGCCAUAAACCUUUGUGAUCCUCUCUAUAAUUUUGGUCAAACAUAAAAUGGUUUGACUCUCCAUGAAAGUUGGAAUGACUUAUAAUUUGGAACGGAGGGAGUAGAAGUUACUCCCUCCGUCCCAAAAAACAAGUUGUUUUAGGAUUGUCCUAAGUCAAACUUUUUUAAGUUUGACUAAGAUUAUAGAAAAAACUACAUUAUUUAUGGUAUGAAAUAAGUGCCAUUAGAUUUAUUAUGAAAUAUAUUUUUAUAAUAUACCUAUUUGAUGCCAUAAACAUUGAUACUUUUCUCUAUAAAUUUGGUCAAAGUUGAGAAAGUUUGACUUAAGACAAACCUAGAAUGACUUGUUUUUUGGGAUGGAGGGAGUAUGUUAUUAAUAUCAUGUCGCAUUAUGUUUUACUUCUCAAAGUGAUGGUGGUCUGCCCUUUUGUACAUAUAAGUGAUUAAUUAUAACCUUAAAGACAUACAUUGCCUCUUGAAAUAUUUAAGCAGGUGUGCAAUCCUUUCCACAAAUUGUCUUUCUCUAACUUCAACUGUAUGGUGUUUUUCAGGCGAGGGGCUAUCAUCACAACCUUCAUUGUGUGCUAUGCUCUUACAUCGUUCAUUUCUGGAUAUGUUAGCGGUGGUCUUUACUCAAGGAAUGGUGGUAUGGUUCUGCCAAUUUCAUAUUUGUUCUACUGUUUGUUUGCACAUUUUUUUUUUUUGCAAAUAUCUUUUGCUGUCUCAUGCUAUUCUUCUCUUUCAAAGAUUUCAAGUUAUCAUGUAUGGAACCCUGACCUCAAUCUAUGGCUUAUCGAAUGCAUUUCUUGAAUCUGUGGCAGGCAAAAACUGGAUUAAAGCUAUGGUCCUUACAGCAUCCCUCUUUCCGUUCCUGUGUUUUUCAAUUGGCUUCGCACUGAAUACAAUUGCUAUCUUCUACCGCUCAUUAGCAGCAAUACCAUUCGGCACAAUGGUUGUCAUGUUUGUACUUUGGGCUUUCAUCUCCUUUCCCUUGGUGCUUUUGGGAACUGUCGUUGGUAGGAACUGGAGUGGUGCUCCUAACAACCCCUGCCGAGUAAAGACUAUUCCACGGCCUAUUCCUGAGAAGAAGUGGUACCUUACACCUUCUGUCAUCUCGUUGAUGGGUGGACUGCUUCCCUUUGGCAGCAUCUUCAUUGAGAUGUACUUUGUCUUCACGUCAUUCUGGAACUACAAGGUAAACAAGGAAGUGUUGAUUAAUACUUUUGCACUCCUUGAUAUUCUCCUUUACCGUUAUGGUCUACUUUUAUACUUUAAGGUGUACAUGAUUGGUUAUUUUUUAAUGUUCUCUGCGGAUUCUAAAUGAUGUCCAUGCUUCAUAUUGCAUUUUGUGUAUGAGCUUGUCUGGAGCCAUAUUUGCAAUUUUUGUUGGAUCAACCGCCCGAUUGAUGCAAUUUUGGGUUCUUGGCAGGUGUAUUAUGUCUAUGGUUUCAUGUUGCUGGUCUUCGUCAUCCUUCUAAUAGUCACCAUCUGUGUCACUAUUGUGGGUACUUAUUUCUUGCUGAAUGCCGAGAACUAUCAUUGGCAAUGGACUUCGUUUUUCUCUGCAGCAUCAACUGCUCUCUACGUGUAUCUAUACUCCAUCUACUACUACCAUGUGAAGACAAAGAUGUCAGGCUUCUUCCAGACAAGUUUCUACUUUGGCUACACAUUGAUGUUCUGCCUUGGUCUAGGCAUACUUUGUGGUAAGCUCUCUUUUUUAACUGAACAAUGUGCCUUUGCUAUAUACGGGACUGCUUUUAGUUUUUGACUCCUGCUUUUUUUCCCUGUGAUUCAGGUGCUAUUGGGUAUGUAGGGUCAACUCUCUUUGUAAGGAGAAUCUACAGAAAUAUCAAAUGUGAUUAAAUUCCUGCUACUCACUAUCAUACGGAAGCAAGGCCUCGAAAAUGGAUCAUAUGUAUUGCCAGUGCGGAAGCAAGGCCUCGAAAAUGGAUUAAUGGUAGAUCCUGAAUAGGUUUUUGAAACUACAGAGGACAUGCUCCCUUUGUUCACUAUCAUACGCAUUUUUUGCUUGCCUGCUUAUUCCUGUGGAAUCGUCGUCAUAAUGUAUACCUAUGUAGUUGAGGAUUAGCCUGAAGCACCUGUUUUUAUCCUUUUCUUUUUCUUUUUUUUUGUAUUUUUAUUCGGUAGGAUGUAAUCAGUGAAUCUUCAUGCGGCGCAAGCACAAUUAUCGGGAAUUCUCCAUCCUAUGCAUCGUGCAUCUUCAAGUUUGAACGAGUGACCACGGGCAGCA
rnacentral:lncRNA from 1 species